rnacentral:rRNA from 1 species
AUUGAACGCUGGCGGAAUGCUUUACACAUGCAAGUCGAACGGCAGCACGGGGGCAUCCCUGGUGGCGAGUGGGGAACGGGUGAGUAAGACAUCGGAACGUGCCCGGCCGUGGGGUAGAACGUAGCAAAAGGAACGGUAAUACCGCAUACGAUCUGCGCAUGAAACCGGGUGACCUUCGGGCAUCGGGCGAUCUUAGCGCCCGAUGUGAGACUAGGUAGUUGGUGGGGUAAGGGCCUUCCAAGCCGACCAUCGGUAGCUGGUCUCAGAGGACGGCCAGCCACACUGGGAGUGAGACACGGCCCAGACUCCUGCGGGAGGCAGCAGUGGGGAAUCUUGGACAAUGGGGGAGAGCCUGAUACAGCAAUUCCGCGUGAAGGACGAAGGCGUUCGGGUUGUAAACUGCUUUUGUACGGAACGAAAAGGAUUUGGCUAAUACCUGGGGCUAAUGACGGUACCGUACGAAUAAGCACCGGCUAACUACGUG